UGUCAAACUGCCUGGGAGCUCCUCAGUGGUGAAACUCCUCCUCCUUCAAUCAGUGGUGAACCAGGUGGAACAAAUCUUCCAGGCAAUCUGGGCGUGCAGCACCUGGCUCUGCUGUUGUCUUUAGAACGCAGUGAAAGGAGCAUUUAUAGCACCACAAGACCAAGGAAACUUCAUCUAUGUGAUCAAGGUGACUGUGCAAGUCCAAGCCCUCCACAAAACUGUGAAAGACAGCCGGUAAGCGCCAUAUUGGCCAUGUUUUGUUAGAUUGACUUAAGCAGUGCACUGCUAAUGAUACUCUGGAAAACACAGACUUAACUCUUAACUUUGAUAGGACUUUUGCAGUGGUAUUUAUAACUUCAAAUGUUGUUUGUGGGGUAUAAAGUAAGAAGAGCCAAAUUCAUUGUUGAUAGAACUUGUUUGAAAUGGUUAAAAGUAAUUUAAACUUUGUAGAAAUCUUAGUAAACCAAGUUCUUAAUUCAGUAACAAAUGUAUAGUCUGGAAAAUCUUUGGCUAAAAGAUGUAGGAUUUGUCUGCUUAACUGCUGAUUAGAAAAUAAGUGUGGUUUUAGGCUACUAGAGGUAUUUUGAAUGUGUUUGGCUAAAAUGCAAAUUUGGAUAAAAGUGUACUGAUUCUGCUCAUUUGAUUAAAAAUGGUGGGUUUCUAUUUUGGGAAACAUUUGCUUAACAGUGGAAACCUUGUAUUUGAUAAUGGCAGAAAUGUGUUUCUGAGGUGAAUGUGGAUAAUUUUGUGUAUUUAAUUAGGCUGUCAACUCAAAUAAUCACUUGUAUUUGUCAUCUCUUUUUUGAGGUUUUUCACCUGUUUACUGCCAACCAAAGAAUGGUAAAUAAAAGACAAACAACUGAUUCUAUGGCUGUUUAUUGAGUGAAAUCCAGUUAAAAUCUUCACGUGGAGGGAUUGUCCUUUUCAAGUGGGGAAUUGCACAAGAAAGAGGUCAAAACUUGACAGUGAAAAACCGUGGCUCAAGACUGGAAAAGGACAAGAAAAGUGACCACACGUGUCCAGAGAGACAAUUAAAGACUGUUCCCGCCUGCUGCUGUGAUUGAAAUGGCUGAUUCAUUACUGGUGGAGCAGCUAAAGACCGCAAGGACAUCAGCGAAGCGUCAGUUUUCCCGUCUGGCCAAUAAUGUGCUACGAAUGCAUACAAUGAUGUCAGAAGAGGAGCUCAGAGACAAUUUUAGGAAGCUCACUGCAGAAGCUGGCAGAGUCCUGGAAGCCAACGAUGAUGUAGAGAGGCAAUGUAUUGAAGAAAACUCUGAUGCAGAGGAGUUGAGCGAGCAGCAGAAGUCUGACUUGGUCAAAACAGCCAAUGAGUGUGAGAAAAAACUGCAAGAGCUAAAGGACCUCAUACAAAAGACAUUGUGGGCCAAUUUCGGGGAAUAUGAACUGACACAAGCAAUUACAACAGCAGAGUCGCAAGCAGAAAACGUGGGAGCUGUGGACCCAAGUAAAAACCCAGAUGCAUAUCUCUUCAUGAUCGGACAACUAGAGAAACUUGUGAAGGCUGCGAAAGAGGUGCAUAAACAUUGGAAGUGCUGGGCCCCCCCUGCAGAGCAACAACAUUUCCAGAGUCGUAUCAAAGACCUUGAAACUAUCCUGCCAAAUCUCACAAUAAGACAAGCAGACUUUACAGGGGCACACGUUAGAGGAGAAACCAGCAGAUUGAGUACUACUUCAAACAGUUCUGUGGCCACACCAGCAAUUAAAUUAAAGCCUGCUUCCCUCCCAAAGUUUUCUGGCAUCCGCCGAGAGUUUCACCGGUGGAAAAAAGACUGGGAAGCGCUCCAGAUGCAGGGAGAACCUACUGGAUCCAGAGAGGUUAAAAAGUUCCAACUUCUCGACAGUGUGGAUGAGAAGACCAUACGAGACCUUCACCUGACAACUUACACAACUGCUGAGGAGGUUUUCCGGGUCUUGGAGAACCGCUUUGGAAAUAAGACAACUAUAGCCCUUGAGAUAGUAGAAGAGCUCCAAAGACUCCAAGCAGUUAAAGGUAACCAGCCCAGGAGGAUUGUUGAGCUCAUCCAAUCGGUAGAAAAAGCCCUGGUCGAUCUGAACGAGCUUGGCAAGACCGGUGCUAUAAAGAACCCUCUUGUAACAAAGACAAUAGAGAGUAAACUUCCUGAUGGCCUGAAGAAGGAAUGGCUUCUUCAUGUAGCUGGCAAAGGUGAUGAAGCUGAAGAAGACAAGCGAUUUGACUACCUCCACAAGUUUCUUCAAGUUCAAGAAGCCAUCUAUGAGAAGCUGGACCAACUGAGAGAGGAGGAACCAAAACCGAAAUCUGAACCUCGGCAAGCUCGAACCAGAACCUCCACCCAACUAAGCAACCAGGCUCAAGGAUGUGUGGUCUGCGGAGACGGCAAGCAUAAGAAAAGGCUAUAUUUCUGCCAAAAGUUUCGCACGCUUAAGCUGUCAGAGAAAAGAGAUGCUGUCAGGAAGCUGGGAGCCUGCAAAAGAUGCCUGGAGAUUCACAAGGAAGGUGACUGUUGUAAAUCAGAGUUUCUGUGCAGGAGGCCAGACUGCAUAGAACAGCGUGCUGCAGAACACCACUAUUACCUCUGCCCGAGAGCUGGUACAUCCAAAGGGAAUGUCGUCCAGAGGUCCAAUAACAGCAAAGUGGGAGGUGACACAAGAGAGCGUUAUACCCAAGCCCAAGAAGAGUUCAUUAAAAGUCUCUCACCUGAACUUGCAGAGAAGUGUUGCAAUGCCUUUUGCAACACUAUAGCCAGAACCUCUCUUGUGUCCAACCAACCCAGUCUUCUAGCAGAGAAUGGAAUAGUGGAGUGGCCCGUCAUCAUGAUGCUCUUAGAGGUCACGGCCAAUGCAGGACAAAAAGUUGGGACUUUGAUCGACCUGGCAUCGGAUACAAACUAUAUAACUCAUGAUGCAGCUGAUCGUUUGAACCUUAGAAGUGAAGCCAUAACCCUUGUUGUCCAUGGUGUGGGAGGAAUGAAAGUUCAAGUCACCACAAAACGGUACCUCCUAAAGAUCCGGGUCCGCACAGAGCAAGGCAAUGUCAGAUCCCACCAACUCCUCUGCUAUGGUUUGGACAGCAUUGCAGAGAUUCACAAACAUGUGACAGCCAAAAGACUCCAAAAAUUCUUUCCAGAUGUCCCCCAAAAUGAACUUGUUAGACCAAGACAGAUACAGCUUUUGAUAAGCCAUAAGGAAGGGCGACUGGUCCCACAGAAAAUACGCACCGUUGGGGACCUUGUACUAUGGGAUGGGCCAUUGGGAAAGACAAUUGCAGGGACACACCCUGGUCUGUUUGAAGAGGCUACAGUUACAGCACACCAGUCCAGAGCGCACUUCGCCAGAUCCAUGAGAACAGCAGCAUUGAUGUAUGAAGAACAUAUCUGCGCCAAACCUACCAUCAAGUCUUCUUAUUCUGCUAUUUCCACUCGGGAUUUUAUUGAGUGGUGGAGAUGGGAUAGCAUUGGCGCCCCUUGCACCCCAAAAUGUGGAGGAUGUCGCUGCGGCAGUUGUCAACUUGGUGGCAAAGAAAUGACUCUGGCCGAAGAAAGGGAGCUGGAAGUUGUUAAGGGUGGCCUGACUUAUGUUGGUGCUGAUGACCACAGUGAUAGUCCACACUGGCAUGCAAGGUAUCCAUGGCUCAUUGACCCAUCUACAUUGCCAAACAACAUAAAAGCAGUGGAGGCAACCUUUCUCAGAACAGAGAGACAGCUCGCCAAAGAACCGCAGUGGAAAAAAGCCUAUGGUGCUCAAGUCCACGAAAUGGUUGACCGCCGGGCUGCAAGAAAGCUGACCAAAGAGGAUCUAACCAACUGGAAUGGACCUGUCUGGUAUAGUAGUCAUCUUAUCGCACCCAACCCCCUCCCUGUUACAACUCCGGUAAGACUUGUCUGGAACAGCAGUCAGAAGUACAAAGGCCAAAGUCUGAAUGACCUUCUGAUGAAAGGCCCUGACGUUCUCAAUCCGAUUCGAGCUGUCCUCCUCAAGUUCCGCCAAGGCUCCUACGCCGCUUUAGGAGACGUCAGAAAAAUGUACAAUUCUGUGUGGCUCGAGGAGAGGGAAGUCCAUCUACACCGGUUCUUGUGGCGGGAUUCAGAGGGCGAUGAGGUGGAACAAUACGCCAUAACCAGAGUGAAUAUCGGGGACAAGCCAGCAGAGUGCAUAGCACAACUGGCCAUGAGGGAGACGGCUAACCUGCCUCAAUUCAGCCACCUCACAGAUGAAUGCCAAGUAUUACAUGAGCACAGCUACGUCGAUAACAUCUUGACAUCCCACAACUGCCGUGAAAAACUCGAAGUCAUCACAAAGAAUGUGGAGCUGAUUCUAAAAGCAGGAGGGUUUGCACUGAAGCCUUGGGUCUUCUCAGGCCAAAAUAAAGGAGAAAGAGAAAAGGCAUCACCAAAUAUUGUUGUCCUGCCAAAUCAGCUUAAGGAGGAAGACAACAAGGCGCUCGGUCUCAGGUACAUUGUGGAUGAAGACAUGUUGCAUGUCAUGGUGAAGGUCAACUUCUCCAGGCGGAAGAAAAAGAUGAGACUUGGGCAAGACUUACUGCUAGAAAAAGUACAAGCACAGACACCAGACCCGCUGACAAGACGUGAACUGCUGAGUCAAGUUGCUGGUUUGUACGACCCAGUUGGCCUGACAACGCCAUCAAAGCAAAGAGGGGCUAUCUUGGUCCGAAGGGCAUUCCAAGAGGCAAAAUCAAAGGGCAGCAUGGUCAAGGACACAUGGGACCUUCCCCUGUCGGAUGAGCUCCGCAAAGAUGCAAUUGGAAUUUUUGAGGAGUACGUCCAGCUAAGCAAAGUAAUGUUCCCAAGAGCUCUUACUCCACCAAAGGCAACAACUGAACCAGUCGCUGUCACUUUUUCAGAUGGCAGUGAAAGCUCCUAUGGUGCUGUCCUCUACCUGCGGUGGAACUGCAACAAACAAUUAACAAUUCGACUAGUGGAGUCAAAAGCAAAGCUGACACCACUAGACCAGAAGGGGGAUGCAGUCAAAGCAGAACUUUGCGGUGCAGUCUUUGCAAGCCGCCUGAAAAAGUACUUUGAACAGCAUACCCAGAUCCAGAUAAAAAGGUGGUACCAUUUGUUAGACAGUCAGACUGUUCUUGGAGCUAUCCAGCGAGAAAGCUAUGGAUUUCAGACUUUCUUCGCUAAUAGAAUUGGAGAGAUUUAAGAGAGCACACGGCUACAGGACUGGUGGUGGAUCCCUGGACCACUCAAUAUAGCCGACAUUAUCACUCGAGGAGCUGGGCCAAAGGAACUUGAUGCCCAUUCAGAGUGGCAGCAAGGGCCAGAGUUUCUAUAUCUUCCAGAGAGCGAGUGGCCAAUUAUGUCGUCAAAAGAUGUGUCUGUGACAGCUCGAGAGAGCAUUAACAAUAUGCAAAAGAAGUCAUUUGUGGCAGCACUCACCAGAGCCCAAGCGAAAAGAAGUCUUCCAAGUCUUGUGGGACGAUUUCCUGCAGGUGCAGCUGUCCUAAACUUGGUGGAUGAGAGGCGCUUUAGUAGCCUAAAGUGUCUAAUCAAGACGGUUGCUUUGAUCUGGAGAGCCGCCAAAAAGUUUAGAUCUGCAACAAAAUCCAUUGAGACCCCAAAGUGGGAGGCGAUUCCCACAAAAGGAGUUAUCACCGCCACAGAACGUCAAGAGGCAAUAAGAGACAUCUAUCUUGCUGCUCAAGAGGGGGUGACGUUCCCAACUACCACUACGGACCGCUUGGUUGUGUACAGAGAGCCAGAAUCUGGGUUACUAGUCUGCGGUGGGAGAAUCCAUGGCUUCAGGGAGGAUGGCGCUGCAGUUCCCCUUCUGCCUUUCAAUGCAUGGGUCUCUACUUUAUUGGCACGGGAGGCGCACGAUGAGGGUCAUGAAGGUGUGGCUGCAACCCUGCUGAAAAUGAGUAGGAAAGCCUGGGUCAUCCAAGGAAGAAAAAUUUCCCAAAAAGUAGUGGAUAACUGCCUUUUCUGCAAAAAGUCAAGAGCAAGAAGGUGCGAACAGGUAAUGGCUGACUUACCUGCUGAAAGAGCCACACCUGCAGCUCCGUUCGAGUUCACUACAGUCGACCUCUUCGGACCGUACCUUGUCAAAGAUGACAUCAAGAAACGGGUCUCAAUGAAAGUGUGGGGUGUCGUCUUCAGCUGUAUGGCCAGCAGGGCAAUUCAUGCAGACCUGGUCAACACAAUGUCGACAGAGAGCUUCUUGAUGGCUUACCAACGCUUUACUGCAAUUAGAGGGCACCCAAGAAAGAUCUGGUCCGACCCGGGGACAAACUUCAUCGGCGCCAAACCUGUCCGAAGAGAGCUGUACCAGUUCCUGGAUGCUCAGAAUAGAACUUCAAUAGAAGAGAUGUCGGCUCAAAAAGGUAACAAAUGGGAGUGGACAAUUCACCCUGCUGACUCACCUCACCGCGAUGGGGCUGCUGAAGCCGCUGUUUGCAUUCUCAAGAAGGCACUGCAGAGCCUGGGCAACAACACAGGCCUUAGCUACAGCGAGCUUCAGACAACACUACAACUUGCUGCAAACCUUGCCAACGAAUGCCCAAUAGAUGCCAGGGUGCAGAGCCAUGAAGAAAGCGUGCAGUAUGUGUCACCCAACACACUUCUCCUGGGCUGGGCCUCUCCAAGCGGUGAGAUCAGAACAUUUGACUUUGCGAACUACCCUUACAAGAGACUCAGAGAGAUGCAGAACCAGGUCAGCAAAAGCUGGAGGUCUUGGAGCCAGCUUGCCGGCCCAAACUUAUUUCUGAGAAGUAAAUGGCACACUUCAUAUCGCAACGUUGCUGUCGGAGAUAUUGUCUGGUUGUGUGACCAAAAUGCAAUGAGGGGCCAAUUCAAACUAGGACGGGUGAUGAGCGUUAAUCCAGAUGCUAAGGGCAUUGUUCGAGACGUGAACGUCAAAGUGGUCCAAAGCUCCUGCCUUCCUGUCACAAAACCCGCACUAAACCGACCAUCGGCCAAAGUCCUGAAAGAAGCUACGCAAACAACAGUCCUGCACAGAGAUGUUCGACGCUUGGUUGUCUUGCUACCAGUUGAGGAUCAAACUCGGAGCUGACCGGCAGUAUGUAGGUGCUGAUUUACAAUCUUUCCAUCGGUUCCCGUGGGAAGAUUGAGUGGGAGGUGUGCUGUCAAACUGCCUGGGAGCUCCUCAGUGGUGAAACUCCUCCUCCUUCAAUCAGUGGUGAACCAGGUGGAACAAAUCUUCCAGGCAAUCUGGGCGUGCAGCACCUGGCUCUGCUGUUGUCUUUAGAACGCAGUGAAAGGAGCAUUUAUAGCACCACAAGACCAAGGAAACUUCAUCUAUGUGAUCAAGGUGACUGUGCAAGUCCAAGCCCUCCACAAAACUGUGAAAGACAGCCGGUUUUUCACCUGUUUACUGCCAACCAAAGAAUGGUAAAUAAAAGACAAACAACUGA